rnacentral:misc_RNA from 1 species
GAUGAAGAACGUAGCGAAAUGCGAUAACUAAUGUGAAUUGCAGAAUUCCGUGAAUCAUCGAGUCUUUGAACGCACAUUGCGCCCCCUGGUAUUCCGGGGGGCAUGCCUGUCCGAGCGUCAUUGCUGCCCAUCAAGCACGGCUUGUGUGUUUGGUCCUCGUCCCCCCCGGGGGACGUGCCCGAAAGGCAGCGGCGGCACCGCGUCCGGUCCUCGAGCGUAUGGGGCUUUGUCACCCGCUCUGCAGGCCCGGCCGGCGCUGGCCGACGCGAAAGCAACCAUUUUUUCUCCAGGUUGACCUCGGAUCAGGUAGGGAUACCCGCUGAACUUAAGCAUAUCAAUAAGCGGAGGA